UAAAGGAAUUUGGCUACCACUAAAAAUGAUUCGCGGCAACACUGAUUAUGACUAUGCCUAUGAUUACUACGAUGGCGAUAACGUUGACGAACGCAAUGUCAUUCCCAGCCGCCUGCUCGUUGGCGUAUACGUGUCUCGUCGAUUUGUGCCGUUCGGCCACAAUCACUACCAACACAACCAGCAGUGCUACUACUACUACCGUGAUACAUACAUGCGAGUCAGCUCUUUUAUGGAUGUUGUUGCACUUGUUGUUGUUACCGUCUGCAGUCUUAAUUUAUGCCGUAAAAAUGUAAACGUGACUCGUGCAGCGUUGGCGGCGGCGUCGUCGUUAUCGUCGUCUCUGUCAUCGUUGUUAGCAUUGGCUGCGGCGUUUUAAAGGAAGUGCUUUCUAGAAAAGCCAGUCUGUUCGCAAGCCAGUUAGUUAGUGGUGAGCCAAAGGAGCGAGCGCCUAAAAAGAAGGAGUUAAACGAGCCAGCCAGACAGCUAGGCAGUCUUUGAAGCAACUCAACUUGGACCCAGUCACAGCACCGAGUGAGACAGGAAACCCGACCUCAAAGGCGUCGUACAUACUAAAGCAGCAACGUCAGUCAGCUUCUUGGCAGGGGUUUUUUUUUUUUAGUUUUAAAAGAAUGAAACGCUCUGCAUAUUUGUGAAGUUAGUCGCAUUUAAGAAAAACUGUGUUUAAGCUGUGCUAAAUAUAAUAAUAAUGAUAAAGUUUGUUAGGCAAAAGAAUCGCGAACAAACAGUUAAAGCAUCAAGCAAGAGUUUCUUUAAGAAAAAGGGCGAGUCGAAUGAUUCCGGUACCGAAUCUGAUGGUGACGUCCUAGAUGUUGACAAGCAUCGCCCCUUAGACUUGGACAUGGAAACCAGCUUAAGCUCGUGCGCCGAUGUGAAUUCGCCAACCACAGACACCGCUUGCUCCUCGUCAGCGUCCUCUGCGAUGAUGUGUCAAUCCCACCUUUUAUACGAUCAACACAGCUCCGAGGAGGAAUUGGAAGUGAUCAAUGGACCAUCAUCGGUGGCAGCCGCUGAGGCGGCGUCCAAUGUAUUGGUGGUGCGGGGCACCGCCUCAUCACUCAUAUCGGAGCGUGGCUCAUCGUCGUUGGAGCCCGAAGAACUAUUCGGCGAAGCAUCGACAUCGAAACGUUCCAGCUCAACAUUAGUUGAGAAUCGUAAAAGAUCUCUGGCCCACAGCUCCGAUGAUGAUCAGCUGAGGAACUUCUUGGAACCGGUGUUGACCCCAGUGAAUUUUCGCACAUCGCCACCAUUGGAAGCUUUCAAGCCAAACCGCAGCCACAAAUAUCGCUCCACAACGCCACUGAUAUUAUCGGAGGCUCGCUGUGGCAUCGAAAAUAUUAAAUUAUGUGAUAAUAGUGUUAAUGACGAAAAUGGUGAGGCUGCUUCGUGUGCGUCGUCGUUGUUGGGCGCAGCAAGCGGUGGCAACGGUAGCGGUGGUGGUGGCGGCGCCUGCGGUGGUGAUGCCAGUUCAACGAGUGUGAUUAAGGCGUGCGCCUCAUCGCUCAAAAUGAGCAAUAGCAGCCAUCAUAUCUAUCAGCCGCAACCCAAAUAUAAUUUCCACUAUAAUAGUUCACGCAGCAGUCCAGCAUCAACGACCGCUCUCGAUGCGAUGGAGGUGCGCUCGGUUAGUCCACCGGCGAAACUCUUCCAUUCGGCUAGAUCACCACACCGCCGACCGAUACGCACACAACACGCCACACAGAGGCUACAGCGACCACAUCGGCCGUGCUUAGACUUCGACAAAAUGCAGCAACUCGCAUUACCCAAAACGAAUACAGUAUGAUGAUGCUGAUGAUGAGGAUAAAUGAUAUCUAAGAAAGAUGAUGAUGAUGAUGAUGAUGAAGUUUAUGUUAAGGGAAGCAUAAUGAGUUAAAGAGUAUUUGAGAGAUUUACGUUCUUGAAACGCUUCUACUAGUCAAACGAUCUAAAAUGGCCUAAAUUGAGCAAGUACUUAAAAGCCAAUUACAAACCAAAAUAUCAACGCAGGAAUACGCAAAGUACGACAGCACAACAAUAAAACAAUGAAAAUUAUUUAAUAAUUCUUUACUACAAUAAAUACCAAAUACAAAGAGAAAUGCAUAUACAACAAAAACAAGACAGCGAAAAACAAUAAACAGAAAGAGAAACUAAAAAAAAAACAAAACGCAAAAACAACGCAUAACAGUAAACAACUAAACAAACAAGCAAGGAAAACAGUUGAAUAAAUAUCAAGUAGCGCGCAUGCGCACACCCUUUGCAUAUUAAAUCGAAAUCAAACACAAUUGCAACAAACAAAAAAUAGAAAUUAAAAAAACCUAAAAAUAAAAUUAUACAUAGAAACAAAAAAAAAAUUUGAAAUACAUUUUUGUAAUAGGUGAGAGAAGAGCGCAUAUGUGAGGAGAAAAAGUAGAUGGAGAAGGAAGAGGAAAAGAAAGAGAAGAUCAGAUCUUGAAGUGGAAGAGGCAAGUGGCGUUAGUGUGAGACCAAGCAAGAGAAGAAAGGACGAAAGAGAUGAGAGUGCGACAAAGAGAGAGAGCGAGUAUGAGAGACGAACCCCGUUGGAAAAAUAUUUAAAACGUACACACAUAAGUACAAACAAAAAUAGAAACGUAAAUACUUUUUCACAGUUUUAAAUUUCAAACAAAAUAAACCAAAAAAAAAACACAAAAACAAUAUAUUGAGAAAUUACAAGAUAAGAAAGCAUGUAAAACCCGUAUAAAUUCAAAAUUGAAAAAAAAAAUCACUAAAAUAAGUAAAACAGGGGCAAAAUGGCGAACAGGUAAAAAUUAGUAAAACAGAAAAAUAGCAACAAACGACAAAACACAGUAAAAUCAGUUAAUUAUACGAAGUAAAAAACGGUAAAUGCAGGCGGGAACUUUACACAUUAGGGUAAAAACAAAAGAUUUAAAAAAUAAAAUAAAAUUAAAAAUUAAACAGAAACCGUUUGUAAAUAUUGUAUUUGUGCAGUGAAGUAAAAUAAUAGUAUGUAAUUAAUUAAUAACAAAAAAGGACAUACAAAGUAGACCGAGACAUGG
rnacentral:misc_RNA from 1 species